GAUGAACGCUAGCGGCAGGCCUAACACAUGCAAGUCGAGGGAGAAGCCCUUUCGGGGGCAGAAACCGGCGCACGGGUGCGUAACGCGUAUGCAACCUACCUUUCACAGGGGGAUAGCCCGAAGAAAUUUGGAUUAAUACCCCAUAAUAUUAUUGGAUGGCAUCAUUUGAUAAUUAAAACUGCGGUGGUGAAGGAUGGGCAUGCGUCCUAUUAGCUAGUUGGAGUGGUAACGGCACCCCAAGGCUACGAUAGGUAGGGGUCCUGAGAGGGAGAUCCCCCACACUGGUACUGAGACAGGGACCAGACUCCUACGGGAGGCAGCAGUGAGGAAUAUUGGUCAAUGGUCGGAAGACUGAACCAGCCAUGCCGCGUGCAGGAAGAAUGCCUUAUGGGUUGUAAACUGCUUUUAUAUGGGAAGAAUAAGGCGUACGUGUACGUUGAUGACGGUACCAUAUGAAUAAGCAUCGGCUAACUCCGUG
rnacentral:rRNA from 1 species